rnacentral:rRNA from 1 species
UACGUAGGUGGCAAGCGUUGUCCGGAUUUAUUGGGUGUAAAGGGUGCGUAGGCGGCCCUGUAAGUCAGUGCUGAAAUAUCCCAGCUUAACUGGGAGGGUGGCAUUGAUACUGCGGGGCUAGAGUACAGAUGAGGUAGGCGGAAUUGACGGUGUAGCGGUGAAAUGCUUAGAUAUCGUCAAGAACACCUAUAGCGAAGGCAGCUUACUAGGCUGUAACUGACGCUGAGGCACGAAAGUGUGGGGAUCAAACAGG